rnacentral:rRNA from 1 species
CCUACGGGUGGCAGCAGUGGGGAAUAUUGGGCAAUGGGCGCAAGCCUGACCCAGCAACGCCGCGUGAGGGAAGAAGGCUCUCUGGUUGUAAAAUUCUUUUUUCAGGGACGUAGAAAGUGACGGUACCUGAGGAAUAAGCCACGGCUAACUACGUGCCAGCAGCCGCGGUAAUACGUAGGUGGCAAGCGUUAUCCGGAUUUAUUGGGUGUAAGGGGCGUGUAGGCGGGGGCGCAAGUCAGAUGUGAAAACUCAGGGCUCAACCCUGAGCCUGCAUUUGAAACUGGGUUUCUUGAGUGCUGGGGAGGCAAUCGGAAUGCCGUGUGUAGCGGUGAAAUGCGUAGAUAUACGGAGGAACACCAGUGGCGAAGGCGGAUUGCUGGGCAGUAACUGACGCUGAGGCGCGAAAGCGUGGGGAGCAAACAGGAUUAGAUACCCUUGUAGUC